rnacentral:rRNA from 1 species
GAUGAACGCUGGCGGCGUGCCUAAUACACGCAAGUCGAGCGAAUGGAUUAAGAGCUUGCUCUUAUGAAGUUAGCGGCGGACGGGUGAGUAACACGUGGGUAACCUGCCCAUAAGACUGGGAUAACUCCGGGAAACCGGGGCUAAUACCGGAUAACAUUUUGAACCGCAUGGUUCGAAAUUGAAAGGCGGCUUCGGCUGUCACUUAUGGAUGGACCCGCGUCGCAUUAGCUAGUUGGUGAGGUAACGGCUCACCAAGGCAACGAUGCGUAGCCGGCCUGAGGGGGGGAUCGGCCACACUGGGACUGAGACACGGCCCAGACUCCUACGGGAGGCAGCAGUAGGGAAUCUUCCGCAAUGGACGAAAGUCUGACGGAGCAACGCCGCGUGAGUGAUGAAGGCUUUCGGGUCGUAAAACUCUGUUGUUAGGGAAGAACAAGUGCUAGUUGAAUAAGCUGGCACCUUGACGGUACCUAACCAGAAAGCCACGGCUAACUACGUGCCAGCCGCCGCGGUAA